rnacentral:rRNA from 1 species
AUUGAACGCUGGCGGCAGGCCUAACACAUGCAAGUCGAGCGGAUGAAGGGAGCUUGCUCCUGGAUUCAGCGGCGGACGGGGGAGUAAUGCCUAGGAAUCUGCCUGGUAGGGGGGGAUAACGUCCGGAAACGGGCGCUAAUACCGCAUACUUGCUGAGGGAGCUGGAGGGGGAUGUUCGGACCUCACGCUAUCAUAUGAGCCUAGGCCGGAUUAGAUAGUUGGUGGGGUUAAGGCCUACCAAGCCGGCGAUCCGUAACUGGUCUGAUAGACUGAUCGGUCACCUUGGAGGGGGGACAGGGUCAAGAGUCCUGCGGGAGGGAGCAGACGGGAAUGUGGGACAGUAGUGGGAAGCAUGAUCCAGUGAUGGCGAGUGUGUGACGAAGGUCUUCGGAUUGUAAAGAACUUUAAGUGGGGAUGAAGCGCAGUAAGUUAAUACCUUGCUGGUUUGACGUUACUAAGAGAAGAAGCACCGGCUAACUACGUG